rnacentral:rRNA from 1 species
UUUAGAUCCUGGCUCAGGAUGAACGCUAGCGGCAGGCUUAACACAUGCAAGUCGAGGGGUAUAGUUCUUCGGAGCUAGAGACCGGCGCACGGGUGCGUAACGCGUAUGCAAUCUACCUUUUACAGAGGGAUAGCCCAGAGAAAUUUGGAUUAAUACCUCAUAGUAUAAUGACUUGGCAUCAAGACAUUAUUAAAGUCACAACGGUAAAAGAUGAGCAUGCGUCCCAUUAGCUAGUUGGUAAGGUAACGGCUUACCAAGGCUACGAUGGGUAGGGGUCCUGAGAGGGAGAUCCCCCACACUGGUACUGAGACACGGACCAGACUCCUACGGGAGGCAGCAGUGAGGAAUAUUGGACAAUGGGCGCAAGCCUGAUCCAGCCAUGCCGCGUGCAGGAUGACGGUCCUAUGGAUUGUAAACUGCUUUUAUACGAGAAGAAACACUACUUCGUGAAGUAGCUUGACGGUAUCGUAAGAAUAAGGAUCGGCCAACUCCGUG